rnacentral:pre_miRNA from 1 species
GCAGAGUACAUCUUGCUGUAAAUGAGAAGUUAAUGUAUUUCGGCAAAUUGUACUCUCGCUA